UACGUAGGGGGCAAGCGUUGUCCGGAAUCAUUGGGCGUAAAGAGCGUGCAGGCGGCCCGAUAAGUCCGCUGUGAAAGUCCAGGGCUCAACCCUGGGAUGCCGGUGGAUACUGUCGGGCUCGAGUCCGGAAGAGGCGAGUGGAAUUCCUGGUGUAGCGGUGAAAUGCGCAGAUAUCAGGAGGAACACCAAUGGCGAAGGCAGCUCGCUGGGACGUGACUGACGCUGAGACGCGAAAGCGUGGGGAGCAAACAGG
rnacentral:rRNA from 1 species